rnacentral:lncRNA from 1 species
UAACUAAUCGGAAGAAAGAAACAAACAAAUGCACCGUGGGUGUGAACCCCCAGCUCAGACAUACAGAUUCAAAGGAGGACAUGAACAGAAUGGAAUUGGGAACUAGCAUUCGAGGGGUUAUCCUGAAGUACCGGAAGACCUCGGUAAAGAAAGGAGAAAAGGGGAAGGUUAAGCCAAACUCCCUUUAUUUAGCGAAAAAGACCAGGCUAAGAUCCUUUUAGGGAUCGAUUAGGUCGGAGGGAGGAGGAUCAGGAAGAACGAUCCUCUCAUUCGGGUAGGGGGCCCGAAUACGAAAGAGAGGGGUAUCUAAAUACUCCCUAGAGAAGAAAUUUUUUAGGACAGACGGAGUGACAUUAGACUCUACUCUAAGAAUGUCGGAAAGUUUUGGGCUAUCCAUGGAAGGACAAAGAGAAGAGCGUACCUUGAAAGUGGCUGGGGCAGAAGGACGAUGUAGGCAAAUCGCGCAGAAGACAGAAGAGAGCAAAGGUUUCGAGAAGACAGAAAGAAUUUGAAAUUGGAAACAGUGAUGAGACGAGGAGAUGUUCUG